GUUAAGGUACAAGAAGAUCUAUGACCAUUUUAGCUCCAGCAGUUAGUACACAACCAAUCAACAGUGCAUUUUCACGACCCAGGCUUCUGAAUUCUGACUGACAGGCUCGCAGGCACAGCCACAUAUAAUCUCACGCAUUCAAAAUGCUAGCUACAUGAAAUACGCCCAGAUUUACGAGUAGAAAUCCAAGAUUCCUCCUCUAUGUUCAAUUUUCCUAAUAGGAAGAACCAUACCAACAGCCCUUGAACUAGAUUGGUCUAAGCAGCAUACAUACAUAUUCAUGUUUUACAUUUUAAAUUUGAAGACCAAGGCAACUCCCGAUCGAUUUAAUUGGAGGCAUUGCAGUCCAAUUGUUCUAAGGAUUGGAACCAGAUGUGUGACUCAAUACUGCUUGGAACAUGUGAGCAAAGUUUACGUACAUGCACCUUCUUGGAUGAUACAACUUCUCUAUGUUUGUACCUCCCCGUCAUUAAAACUUUGCAAACUUUAUGAGUAAAAAGUAAGAAGUAAUGUUCUCACUUCUCUUUUUUAUGACCAUCAUUAUCUCAGUCUCAACAACAUCCAGGAGAUGUACCUACGUAGCUACUGUUAGUUCAAAAGCUUUAUUUCACAAGUUGGCAACAUGAUAUUCAGGAUGUUAAGCAGGUGUUAUAGUUCUAAUUUGCCUUCUUCUCAUAAAACUUGGGUCUCAUAAACAGUAGAGACUGUAGCCCGAUGUUGCUCACUGCACACUUAUACUUAU